rnacentral:lncRNA from 1 species
CAUUUUCAUGAAUGUUGUCAAGUGUGACUUGAUUCCACCUGAGCUUAUUGAUUAAUUGUUGUGGUAGAUUCCUCUAUGUUUUGUUCUCCAUGCUUGAUUAUUCUGUACAUGCAUUUGAGGGAACAUUGAGAGAAAUUACGAGGGGUAGAUGAGUAAUUAAAUUGGUUCCAAAUUGUGAAAUGACUUCUUUUGUAAAUUGAUUUCAUUUUCUCUAUUUCAAAGA